CACAGAGUUAGUCGGUGCUUAUUCUGUCGGUAACGUCAAAACAGCAAAGUAUUAAUUUACUGCCCUUCCUCCCAACUUAAAGUGCUUUACAAUCCGAAGACCUUUUUCACACACGCGGCAUGGCUGGAUCAGGCUUUCGCCCAUUGUCCAAUAUUCCCCA
rnacentral:rRNA from 1 species